GUCUCGGUGGCCAUAGCGGAGGGGUCCCACCCGUUCCCAUCCCGAACACGGAAGUUAAGCCCUCCAGCGCCGAUGGUACUUGGGACGAGAGUCCCUGGGAGAGUAGGUCGCCGCCGGUU
rnacentral:rRNA from 1 species